UACGGGGGGGGCAAGCGUUGUUCGGAAUUACUGGGCGUAAAGGGCUCGUAGGCGGCCAACUAAGUCAGACGUGAAAUCCCUCGGCUUAACCGGGGAACUGCGUCUGAUACUGGAUGGCUAGAGAUUGGGAGAGGGAUGCGGAAUUCCAGGUGUAGCGGUGAAAUGCGUAGAUAUCUGGAGGAACACCGGUGGCGAAGGCAGCAUCCUGGGCCAACACUGACGCUGAGGAGCGAAAGCCAGGGGAGCAAACGGG
rnacentral:rRNA from 1 species